rnacentral:rRNA from 1 species
AUUGAACGCUGGCGGCAUGCCUUACACAUGCAAGUCGAACGGCAGCUUAGGAGCUUGCUCCUGAUGGCGAGUGGCGAACGGGUGAGUAAUUUAUCGGAACGUGCCCUAGAGUGGGGGAUAACUAGUCGAAAGACUAGCUAAUACCGCAUACGAUCUACGGAUGAAAGUGGGGGAUCGCAAGACCUCAUGCUCCUGGAGCGGCCGAUAUCUGAUUAGCUAGUUGGUGGGGUAAAAGCCUACCGAGGCAACGAUCAGUAGCUGGUCUGAGAGGACGACCAGCCACACUGGGACUGAGACACGGCCCAGACUCCUACGGGAGGCAGCAGUGGGGAAUUUUGGACAAUGGGGGCAACCCUGAUCCAGCAAUGCCGCGUGAGUGAAGAAGGCCUUCGGGUUGUAAAGCUCUUUUGUCAGGGAAGAAACGGUAGUAGCGAAUAACUACUACUAAUGACGGUACCUGAAGAAUAAGCACCGGCUAACUACGUGCCAGCCGCCGCCGUAA